UGUUAAUGAUUAAUGUUUAAUUUUGUAUUUUCAUUAUUCUAACUUCUACUUCUAACUUAACUUUUCCUAUAUUGUGAUUAAUUGUGUGAUACGGAAUUUCCUAUAUUUAUUUCCAGUGAUGCCUGAAAUUAAUGGAUCUGUGCUACCUGAAAAGGACAACGAGGUUAAGAGAGAAAUUACUCAAACAGAUCACCUGAACCAAAGGUUGCUGACAUCCUUUUUGAAUUUAAUAAACUCGGCAAAUAGGCCUAAUAGUGAUGAUAAUCGUUCCGCCUCUUCUCAUCCUCAGUCAAUACAUAUCAAUACUCAACAUCAUUCUGUGGACGAAAACAAUCAUUUUGAAUAAUCAUCUCAAGCUUGUGUAACUUAGUGGUAGGCUAGCCUAAUUUAAGACAUGUCAAGGAACUCAUUUAACAUAUCUGUUUAAGAAAUUCAAAGUGUAUGGUACCAUAUUUUUGUCUUAGUUAAUUUGACAAGUGAUACCGAUAAAGAAAAAAAGGGACUUGAAUUUAUGGUGGUGAAGAGUUUUAACUUACAAAAGGAAUGUGCUCCUAGCAAGCAGAAUAAACCCCAAUAUUGAUUAAAUGCCCAGAGCUAUGGGCUUGUUACUGGGAUCAACUGCAGCUUUUUUAAGCCUUUCAAUUCAAGUUUCAUAACAAUCAAGGCAGGGUUUCAAACUGUUGUGAGCUCAUCUACACAGAAUGAAGACUCCAGAGCCCCAAACAACAUACCACUGGCUGAGGUUGAGGCAGUUGAACCUCAAGAGGCUGAGACAAAUGAUGGAUGCUUCAUAAAGAUCAUCAUCAGAGGACGAUUGGUUGAGCAGAUACUGCUGGUUUUUUUAAAAACGAGAUUGGCAUUGGUGUGUCCUACGGAGGUGUUGAUGGAAGUGUAGGAUUGCUGAAGGAGGGCCCAAGACUUUCUCCACUCCAAGGAAGGAUGAACAUGCUCCAGCUCCGCAAGUGUUUCCCUCAAUAUAAACAGACUGUUUGUUGCCUACGUCUAAACAGGUAUUCAAAGAGCAGAUUCAUUAAAGCUGAUAGAUUAAAGAUGGAAAAAUUAAAUCUUUAAGUUAAACAAAAUUUUGAGACACAUUAAACUGUAGUCAUUGUUAAGUUUAUGACGCUGUAUGAAGAAUGUAACAUAGCCAUUGGAACUAGAUUUUAAGGAUUUUUGCUAGGAUUGCAGACUUGCAUAAAUGGGAAAGAGUCUCUGACAGAAACGUCAGAUUUUACACUAUAUGCACGCCAAUAAACUAAGAGUUAAUUUUUACCUUGGAUAAAAUACCGUCAAUAGAUUGUGUAAGCCUUACAUUGGACUGUUAAAUCAUUACGGGUGGUAUAUUUUUUACUGUUAACUGACCACCCAAUCAAGUUUGUAUAAUGUUUUGUACCUAAAUAUAUUUUUCUGUACAGUAGUGUUUCAAUAAAG